CAGUGUUUCUCCAGUUUGUCGAAGGUUGCAGACAUUAAUUCCUGUGCAUCUCUCUUAUGGCCCGACCACAGCAUUUCUGGCCCUGAAGAUGAAAGCCUGAGUUGACAAAGACGCAUCAUUACCAAACUUCUCUGAUCCCAGUUUCAGGUUGCGUUGGAACAGAAGCUUGGUGGAUUAGAAAGCUGCUAACAUGUCCCAGAAAGACCUAAACAAAAAACCUUACUUGAAAAGAUUGUAAAAAGCUGGGCUUCCAGUGUAAUAAGCCGUCCCUUUUUGUUUUUUUACUCUGUGUAAUGUGGUGGAGUUUAUAGAAAGGUUUUAUAUUUUAUGUAUAAAAGUACUGAAUCCUGCAAGCAUUCCAGGUGUUAAACUACUGAGGUCUACAGGUCUAAAAAGUGCAUGAAAUACAGUUUUAUUUCAAAAUCCUUUCCACUAUUACUGAGAGAAGAUGAUUUUUUUUUUAAAGGAAAUCCAACCAAAAAGAUUUUGCACACUCAGUUCACUAAGCUCAGAUUUGAUCAAAUAUUUCAUUUGUUCAACAACUUUUCCUUCAUUUCAUGCAUUAUGUUGAUCAAGUUCUAAGUAGACAGGACUAGGUUAAAAAAAUCCACUUUUAAUAUUUUUAGCUGCAUCAUUCCAGCUUGGUAUAGGUACAACACCCAAGUAUGAUUUUUCACAUUUGAAUGUAAUUUUAGGUCCAUAUAUAUUAUUAGCAUGCUCAUACACAUUUUCCCAAUGUACAAUUAUAAUUUGGCAGCCCAAGAAAUG